AGUCUCGAAUUCGCCACGGUGGAAUACGGCCGCGUGGCAAACACGCAACGUGUACUUACGCAACGCGUCCGCGGUUCGCGCGUGCUACGUAGUGCGUAGUGUACACGCGUAUCGUUCACGCGUCUCUCAUCGAAAUGCCGCACGGUCGUCGAGAGAUGGUGUUCACGUGCCUAUUUAACAUUUUAACGGAUACGUUGUCACGUAUGCGGUGGCCGUCACCUGUCAUCGUUCGACGUGACUUUGUUCUAAACGCUAACGACACACCUAGGCCGCGCCAAAUCACACGCCGAACAAAAGAUCCAAUACCAUUUCCCAACUCCCAUUGUUCGAGCACACGCCAAACGGUACGAAGACACUGCAAAUCCCUUCAAAAGGGAGCAGCGCGUCAAUGUUGGUGAACAGUUAUCGAAGCGUCAGAACACCUUGGUGCAUAAAGGGGGCAUUAAACAUCCUGCGAGCAAUCACGAUCCAGCAAACCGAUCUAGGUCGAUACGUUUCGAAGGUAACGAUUAAUACGAUCCUCUCGUAAUCGAGGGGCGGCUAUGGAAUACGCAUGAACGGUCAGAGAGGGAUGUCUGUUGGCCUCCGCGGAUCCAUUCGAUCGGAGAUUCGCUCGGACGAGGAGGAGACUGGGCUCGAUCGGUAAUAUGGGACGUGCGUUACCGAGAGAGGGUUGCGACGGAUCAUGCCAGGACAUAAUACAUACAUACAUAUCGUAUUCGACGGGAUUACGUAACGUGGUGCUCUCUGAUUGGCUAAUGGGCAACGCUGCAAAUGGUUCGACAUCGUUAUGGUUAGGCGAAACGACUCUAUUGUUGUCCCGGGAUACAAUGAGCGAGCUAUAUUAUUGGAUAAUUAGCGCGAACAGUUCGGAAGAAAAAAAAGUGUUACUGGAAAUGGAGGAAGAAGAAGAUGCGGAUUGUAAGAUGUAAUUUUGAGAAAUUGAGGAAAGGAUUUGAGAAAGUUGUAAAUUUGGUAUUGUAGAGGAUGUUGAUAAUCGUGGGAUAUGGAGGGUCGAUUCCGAAAAUUGAAUACAAAAUGUUAGAAAUAUAAAAAUUUCGAGUGGAGGAGUAAUCGGUAAUAAUUAUUUUCGUGUUUUUUUUUAUUAUGUUUGAUUUAUUAUUUUAGUUGAAUAUUUAGCAAGAUUUGAUUUUAGUUUUAAAAUACAAUUAAGUUAAAAUUUUCAUAGAAAGCGUAGAUUUUUUUAUGAUAGUUUUUAACUGAGUUUGUUAUGAUAAUUUUAUACAAAUUAUAGAUUUUAUGUGUUAAUAUCAUAUGGAACUUUAAUAAUAAGAUAGAGAGAAAUAUUUUGUCUAUGUUCAGUAGUUUGGAUCAAUAUUUAAUGAUUUGUUAAAUAUUUGAUGAUUGUUUUAGAUAAAUUAAUAAUACAAUCGAAGCGAUAACAAAUUAUUCGUGUUCCAAUUUCAGAUAUAUGUACUGAUUUCAUCAAAAUUGAUUUAUUCAUCAGAGAUUUAUUCACGGGAUACAUUAAUAAGAUUAAUUUCAGACACCUAGCUAUGAUGAUUAUGAUUUAUUAACUACUAAUUAUAUACUCAAUAUUUCCUCAAUAUAUUAUUACUUACAACAAAAAAUCUUCUUCAAAAUAAAGAAAUUUUUCGAUCUUUUGAUAGAUUUAACACUUAAAUAGUCCUAUAUAAAAAAAAUAUGUAAUUCAAUUUAUCCUUACUAUUUUCCCACUUUCAAAAGUGAGUUUUCAAAUUCAACUUCAACUGCUUGAUAUAUUUUAUUCCAAAUUUCAUAAAAAAAAACCAUCCCCUCUUUAUCAACAUCACAAACAAAAUAUUCACAAACAAAUUGAUCUUCGACAGUGAUCAUGUUUGCAAAAAAAAUAAAAGAACGAAAUCCGAAAUCAUAGACAAAAAUUGAACGUUCUUUUCUUUAGAUGGCACACGCGGAACGAAAAUUAAUCGUGUGACGCGUGUACGCGCUUGGAGGCCAAGCGUGUACACAAUCCCCAGCAGGGUUCCACGAAUCAUGAAUAAUCUAACACGAUCCUGAUCUGCAAUGCAAUAUAAAAUAGAUUUCAUGGACAGCGGCUGUAAAUGCGUGCGCGCGCGCGCGCGCUCAUACUGUCACCCUCGCGUGUUGAUCAAACGCCGUGCGACGAUCAUCGACUCAGCUUGAUUAAAUAAAGAGAGCGUGUUACCGGUGAACGAUCCUGACUGGUUAUUGGACAGGCUUUACGAUCCGUAACGAAACUUGAGAUUGUCAAACGGAAUUUCACGGGAUUUUUUUUUUUUUUUUUUGGCAAAAGAAUUUUAAUGAUACGCGAUGGAACGCGUAUUAGAUCGACAUGAACGGAAGAAUUUGUUUAAUAGAAUUUGUGAGAGGAAGAAAUAAAUGAAAUGAAUAUUUUUCUCGAGUAAAAGUUACAUUGAUCGUAAAUGUGUUUAAGUUUUCAACGAUAAAAUUAAAUGUAAAAGUAGAAUAUGAAAUUUGAUUCUAGUUGAUUUAAAUUAAUGUCGCGAUACCUUUGGUUGAAAUAUUUUAUAUAUUUUUGAAAAUUAUAUAUUCAGAAGAUUUUUAUAAUAAAUAUAAUUUAAUUAAUAACAUUAGUGAUUAUUGGACAAUAACGAGAAUUAAAAUUGUUAAACGAAUUUUUUAUAAAAUGAAAGAAAAUAUUUUUUAAUUAAAAUCAAAAUUGAUAAAUGAUUUGAUAAUUGAUUUAAUUAUCAAUUUAAAAAAAUAAUUAAUUCAAUAAUUAUUUCAGUUUGUUAAUUCUUAAGAAAUGAUUAAUAAUUUUUUUAUUCAAUACAAAAUCGUGAUGCACAAAGAUAUAAAGACAAUCAGGAUCGAAUUUUAAACUAAAAACUUGCGUGAAAAAGUGAACCUUUUUUAGUACAAUAUUUGAAAAGUAUCUAUAAAAUUAUUUUUUCAUUUCUCUUAUACAUAUAUACAUAUAUAUUAUUCAUAUCCACAUAUAAUUUUGAAUAAAUGCAUUCGAAACGA